CAUGUGUAAGUAUAAAUAUUUGACUUUGAAACUGCGAAUGGCUCAUUAUAUCAGUUAUAGUUUAUUUGAUGAAAAGUACUACUUGGAUAACCGUAGUAAUUCUAGAGCUAAUACAUGAUAAAAUCCUCGACUUUGAAGAGGUGUAUUUAUUAGAAUGAAACCAAGAGACUUCGGUCUAUUUGUGAGUAAUAAUAACUAAUCGUAUCGCAUGCUUAGGUAGCGAUAUGUCUUUCAAGUUUCUGCCCUAUCAGCUUUGGAUGGUAGUGUAUUGGACUACCAUGGCAGUAACGGGUAACGAAGAAUUUGGGUUCGAUUUCGGAGAGGGAGCCUGAGAGAUGGCUACCACAUCCAAGGAAGGCAGCAGGCGCGUAAAUUACCCAAUCCUGACAUAGGGAGGUAGUGACAAUAAAUCACAAUGCGGAACUAUUAGUUUUGCAAUUGGAUUGAGAACAAUGUACAAAUGUUAUCGAUAAACAAUUGGAGGGCAAGUCUGGUGCCAGCAGCCGCGGUAAUUCCAGCUCCAAUAGCGUAUAUUAACGUUGUU
rnacentral:rRNA from 1 species